rnacentral:rRNA from 1 species
CCUACGGGCGGCAGCAGUCGAGAAUCAUUCACAAUGGUGGAAACCCUGAUGGUGCGACGCCGCGUGGGGGAAUGAAGGUCUUCGGAUUGUAAACCCCUGUCAUGUGGGAGCAAAUUAAAAAGAUAGUACCACAAGAGGAAGAGACGGCUAACUCUGUGCCAGCAGCCGCGGUAAUACAGAGGUCUCAAGCGUUGUUCGGAAUCACUGGGCGUAAAGCGUGCGUAGGCUGUUUCGUAAGUCGUGUGUGAAAGGCGCGGGCUCAACCCGCGGACGGCACAUGAUACUGCGAGACUAGAGUAAGGGAGGGGGAACCGGAAUUCUCGGUGUAGCAGUGAAAUGCGUAGAUAUCGAGAGGAACACUCGUGGCGAAGGCGGGUUCCUGGACAUUAACUGACGCUGAGGCACGAAGGCCAGGGGAGCGAAAGGGAUUAGAUACCCGGGUAGUC